UACGGAGGUGGCAAGCGUUGUUCGGAAUUACUGGGCGUAAAGGGCGCGUAGGCGGCAUGGCAAGUCAGAUGUGAAAGCCCCGGGCUUAACCUGGGAAUUGCAUCUGAAACUGUUGUGCUUGAGUUCUGGAGGGGGUAGUGGAAUUCCCAGUGUAGCGGUGAAAUGCGUAGAUAUUGGGAGGAACACCUGCGGCGAAGGCGGCUACCUGGACAGAUACUGACGCUGAGGCGCGAAAGUGUGGGGAGCAAACCGGAUUAGAUACCCCUGUAGU
rnacentral:rRNA from 1 species